CCUGCGUUUCGCCCCACUCCCGCCCCAGCCGCCAAAUGAACCCUAGCCCUCUUUCUCUUUCCUCUCGAUCCCCACGAGCCGCCGCACCCCUCCCUCGAUCCCCAUGAUCCUCUCCUCGCCAGCAGACGCCGGCCGGCCUCGUCUCUCCACUCGCCUCCUCCUCUCCUCUACCAUGUCGUCGUCGAUCCCACCGCCAGCCUUCUCCUCUUCUCGCCUGCUCCUGUCCUCUUCCAUGUCACCGCCGACCCAGAUCGGACGUAGGUUAGCUUCACGGUGCGGGUGGGGAUGUAGGGGAGGUGUAGGAUGUGGACAAGGAGGGAAGGAGGAGGCCGCCGAGGAAGCCAAGCAACAGCGGGGAAGGAGAAGGUGAGCGAUCCUAGCAUGGGGAAGGGGCAGGGUGAGGCCUCGCACACCUGCCGGCUGAUUUGUUGCGCCACCGUGUCGUCGCCUCCUCUGCACCAUGAGAGGCGCAUCCUCUGCCUAUGAGAGACGCAACCUCUGCCUCCACCCCCCUCCCACUGGGCAAGGAGCUUGAGGUGAUCAGGCGGUGUGGGAAGGCGAGAGGAACCAGGAGAUCACCCCUCCUCCCAUGGCUGCCUCAUGGAUCUGGAGUAUAAGGAGGACAACAUGUGCCUAUUGCAGGCGGCUCGAGCGAUGCAGGCUGGCGGCGAACUAGACAAGGAGGCCUCCUCGGACAUUAAGAAGGUACAACUAGGUAGCAGUGGAAGUGCUCCGUUCAAAAACAAGAACUUGGCAGAAGCUCUACAUAUGCAAAUGGAGGUUCAGACACAGCUCCAUGAACAGCUAUAGGAACUUGGCAGAAGCUCUACAUAUGCAAAUGUAGGUUCAGACACAGCUCCAAGAACAGGUAUAGGUGCCUUAUUUGUUCAUGUUUUCGAGCUCUAAUAGGAUGGUGUUGUUGUUGGCACAUAUUUCUGAUAGUAGGAGCAUUCUUUUUCUUGCUUCACAAUAAUUACUGUGCUUUGUGUAUAUAUGAACCCAAAUCCAUAUUUAAAUGGGUGCUAAAUGUUUUUUGCGGCAUGGUGGACUUUGGAGACUAGCGCUUUUAUAGUAUUGUUACUGACUCUAUUUUUUACUAAACAAAACUGAUUCAUCAACAUUGCCCUACUGUUUUUGAUGCACAAAAUUAGUCAAUCAACACAUUGGCCCGCUGAAAAUCAACACAUUGGACUGCAACCAUACUAAUUACUGUAGAAUAUGGUGGUCAGCAAAAUCUACAAGAACAGUCGUCCUAGGUGUAGAAUAACAAGUGGUAUGUGCUGUGAAAAAUUAAGAGAGGGGGACAAUGAAAAGGAGUUUCUUCAACAGUACAUUGCUAGACGACCUCAAUGUGGUGCUCAGGGUGGCAAUCGAAGAGGCGCCCAACGUCCUUAUGGUGGAGAUAGGGGAGGAGUUGAGCGUCCUAGCGGUGGAGAACAGGGACGUGCCGGCGUCCUCGCGGUGGAGAAUGGGGAGACGACAUGCAUCCUUGCAGUGGGAACGGGAAAGCAUAUUAGCAUCUUGUUCCUGGAAAAAUAUAGUGCAGUGUGGUGUUUUCCGUUGAUAGUAAGUUGACUUCCAAUUUCACAGCUUUUACAGUUUUAGGAGGUGCUGCAAGAUUAUUUUGCAUUGUUAUCAUAGUGUGGUGUUUCCUAUUGAUAGUAAGUUGACUGCCAAUUUCACAGCUUUUACAGUUUUAGGAGGUGCUGCAAGAUUAUUUUGCAUUGUUAUCAUAUGCUCCCUCCGUCCCAAAAUUCUUGUCUUAGAUUUUUCUAAAUACGAGUGUAUCAAGUCACGUUUUAGUAUUAGAUACAUAUGUAUCUAGACAAAUCUAAGACAAGAAUUUUGGGACGGAGGGAGUAUGAUUUUCAGAUUAUUCUAUCAUGAAGUAUUGGUUUGUUAUUGAGGUACCCUUAGAUGGAGGGGCUGAAUGCAGUUUUGUAUCUUUUUUCAAAGUCCUGAAUGGUCCCAUGAAAAUCCCUGUAUGUGCAGUUUCAGAGCCUCAUCACACUAUGGUAGGAAAAAUAGGUAUUUAGGUUAUCGAAGGCUCCAUUUUUGUCUAUUAUAUAGAUUAUAUAGCUUUGUGAUCGAAGGUAGGUUUGUCACAUAGGGUGUGUUGCUUGUGAAAAUUAUAUACAGCCAUGACCAUGAGUCCCUGACAAAAUUAUCUCAGCUCAUGUUACUAGGAUCAAGGAACCUCGACCAUUUUUCUUUUCCCUCAUAAACUUGCUAAUAAUAUUGGCGAAGUAAUCCCCACUUCAGAUUUCCCAUUGAAUGAAUAACUAAUUUAGAUUGUUCAAAAUUUUUAGGUCAAAGAGCCAUGAAUAGGAGCAAGGCAUCACACUCUAGCUCUGGGAAGAAAAAGAUACAAAGACAGAGAUAGUCAGUGUUCUGCUCCGAAGCAAAAACAUUUUGCAUUUAAUAAUGAAUUUUAGUUUACCACAAUCUCUCUAAAACAGGCCUACCUAUUACCAGUCCAUUGCUUGCCUUUUUCUAGGAAGUAUGACUCAAUCGUAUAUAUUUACAUUUGUGUUGUUUAGUUGUGGUUUGUAUGCUUGAAAAUACAUUUUAACCGAGCUUGAAAAUUCUUAUGUGCAGUGAAA